GGUGGCUCAGUGGUAGAGCGUUUGCCUCGCAUGCAUGAGGUCCUGGGUUCGAUUCCUAAGCACCA
rnacentral:tRNA from 1 species